UUCGGGACAAUUGUUGACACGUUUAAAGUUCCGGUAAACCGCAGAACCGCCUUCUUUAUCAUUUAUCAUUAAAAAUACGCACAGUUGGUUCGUAUUGUACGUUGAUUAUUGACGCGCAGGGUGCAAGUGAAUUCAACAUGUGGUGCCUCAAGGGACGCGAAGGCAUUUGCGUGUAUGUUACGCCAAAUCAGAAACAAACCUUUGGUAAAUCGCUGAGUGAUAUAAAACUAGAAGGAGACCCUACGAUCAGCAGAUUACACGCAGUCAUUUCCGUGGAAUCGAUCGAGGAAUCGGAUACCACACCAUAUAAAUGUGUCAUUAGUGAUUUGUCCAAGUAUGGAACGUUUGUCAUAAGAGACGGGCAAAAGAAAAAAUUGCUGAUAAAUGAAAAAUGUACCUUGAAAGCUGGCGACACAGUGCAAUUUGGCCUAAAGCAGACUACUUUUGUUGUGUCGUGUUAUUCAUUUGUGAUUGCAAAAUCCAGCCUGGAUAAAAAAGCUGCAGAGAGCUUAACAAGCGUGGUGCAUCUUCUGGGAGGAAGGUUGGCUGAAACUUGGGAAGAUUCUUGCACACACUUGACAGUGUCCGAAAACAUCCUGUUUACUACAAAAUUGGCUUGCGCAUUGGCCUCUGCCAAACCGAUUGUGACAAUUGCAUAUUGGGAAGCAAUACGUCUAGCUGUCCAAGAAUCAAAGGAAUUGCCAGGUAUCGAAAACUUUCUGCCAAUGAUAAAGGAGGAGUGGUUGAAAGCGUCUUCGAGAUUGCUUGUACCAAACGAGAAACGCAGAGCGCUGUUCAAGGGCCUGGCAUUCGUGCAUUUCUGUGCAAAGCAAUACUUCACGUGCUCGCCAUUGAUCAGUGCAGCAGGUGGCAAAUCGUGCGUGUAUCCCACAAAGAAACCCCUCACUCCUCGAGAUCUCACUGCGAAGAAUGCGGUCGUCGUACAGCAGCCUGCGAGCGACUCGUCGCAAUUCACGUGUCAAAUAAUCGAGGCUGAUUAUCCAAUCAUCUAUCGCAAGCUACAAGCCAUCAAACGCAGAAUGAUCUCCGAUACCGAAAUUCCCCUCGCGAUUUUAUACUGCAGCACAGAAAUUUAUUGUAAUCCUAAAUUCGAAUUCGCCACGUUUCUCGAGUUAAACACUCAAACGUUUCCUUCUUCCGACAUUGUGAUAAUCGAAGACACACAGGACAUCGUUAACAGAAUUAAUAAGGCUGACGGACGCAGCAAGGAGAACGUCGUAUCCGAGAUUUGCGUUUCGCAAAGUAACGAGAAUGCUGUCUCGAGUACGAGUGUCUGUCCACUUGGCGAGAACGCGCGGCGAGGUACCUGUGACUCCAACAGAAGCGAUAUCGCGACGAGAACCACGCGGAAUGCUGACCAAAGGACAGUUACGCGCAAGGUAAUUCCCGAGAUUUGCGAGUCCCAAGGUAACGACCAAGGUACCUCGAAGAACGUCGGUCCUCAUAUCGGAGACGAACAGAGAAAUAUCAUGCCCAACAUAUUUUCUAAAAAAAAAGUUCAAAAACAACUCGAAAUUAUUCCCGAGAGCUGUUGUUCCGCAGGGAGAGAAGCGAGCGGUACCGUUUCCGGUAAGAGCGAUCGUGAACAAGCUCGAAUCGUUUCUGAAAUUUUCGAGCCUGACGAGGUAAACGUCGUCGAGGAUUUGGCCGCGCGAAAAAUAUGCAGAAACGCGAAAUCGUCAGAAAAGAGAGGUAUUCUUACGGUGGAGAAGGGGAAUGAUGGUACUUUGGAGAAAGAUGCUGUAGCUCCGGUUGCGAUAACGACCAAUCAACAACGAGAAAACUACGUGAUAUCUAAAAAGACUAAUAAUUCACAUUGUGUCAAAAAUAAUUUGUCACUUGGGAAAAACGGAUCUUCCAACGCUGAUUACGAUAAAUCUGAUCGCGCGAACUGGCAAAUUUCGAAAAAGUUGAAAACUUCAAGGGGGCCACGAAUCGUAUCGAUAGAGAAGAUUAAUCACAGCAAGAUUAACACUGACUGGAAAAGAAAAAAAGCGUUGACGGAAGGUCGUACCAAAAUUCAAGAGUCAUCGAAUUCGUUAAAGGAACGCAAAUUGGAUCCAGUCUGCUCUGUCGGAAGACCCCAAGAAGAUGAGAGAACGAAGAAAAAUAGGAUACGAGAGGGAGAUAAAAACAGAGAAGAACCUCGAAAAACGGUACUUGGUAGCCAAUUGGUAUGAAAAGUACUUGAAGCAAGAGCUCACGAAUGAGAUACUUCGGAGAGAUGCACCACGUGGUAAAACAUUUACAAAGAUGCCAGUUGUGAUUCCGGAGAGGAUGCCGAGGAUGGACAACCAUGUCUCUCGACAGCCACGUGAUUUUGUUAAAAAAAUGAUUAUUAAAACUGAUUAAGGCUGUCUAAAACUAUUGUAGUGUGGACACUCUUAUUAUUAACAGAUUUAUCAUUGGUACAGAUGGUUUCUCUUUAAAGUUUGGAUUACUAAAUUUUUGUAAUUUUGAAACAUUGAGGAAAUUUAAUGAAAUCAUAAUUAGUAUUGUUAAUACAGGAAGGAGUUCCAUAUUUAAUUUACUUUAUGACAUAAUUUACAUACGAGCUGCCCUCACAAUUACAUAAAAUUGACAUGUAUUUAUAUCAUUUGGAAGCUGUAUAUUUUCUUAACGGUAUUUUUCCUUGUAAAAGAAAGAAGAAAAAGUACUAAGGUA